rnacentral:rRNA from 1 species
UGGGGAAUAUUGGGCAAUGGGGGAAACCCUGACCCAGCAACGCCGCGUGAGGGAAGAAGGCCCUCGGGUUGUAAACCUCUUUUACCAGGGACGAAGGACGUGACGGUACCUGGAGAAAAAGCAACGGCUAACUCCGUGCCAGCAGCCGCGGUAAUACGGAGGAUGCGAGCGUUAUCCGGAUUUAUGGGUUUAAAGGGUGCGUAGGCGGACUUUCAAGUCAGCGGUAAAAUUUCCGGGCUUAACCUGGUUGUGCCGUUGAAACUGAGAGACUGGAGUGCGCUUGAGGUAGGCGGAAUGCGUUGUGUAGCGGUGAAAUGCAUAGAUAUGACGCAGAACUCCGAUUGCGAAGGCAGCUUACCAAAUCGCUACUGACGCUGAGGCACGAAAGCGUGGGGAUCGAACAGGAUUAGAUACCCUGGUAGU